GGGUUGUGAGGUUAAGCGACUAAGCGUACACGGUGGAUGCCCUGGCAGUCAGAGGCGAUGAAGGACGUGCUAAUCUGCGAUAAGCGUCGGUGAGGUGAUAUGAACCGUUAUAACCGGCGAUUUCCGAAUGGGGAAACCCAGUGUGUUUCGACACACUAUCAUUAACUGAAUCCAUAGGUUAAUGAGGCGAACCGGGGGAACUGAAACAUCUAAGUACCCCGAGGAAAAGAAAUCAACCGAGAUUCCCCCAGUAGCGGCGAGCGAACGGGGAGGAGCCCAGAGCCUGAAUCAGUGUGUGUGUUAGUGGAAGCGUCUGGAAAGGCGCGCGAUACAGGGUGACAGCCCCGUACACAAAAAUGCACAUAUUGUGAGCUCGAUGAGUAGGGCGGGACACGUGGUAUCCUGUCUGAAUAUGGGGGGACCAUCCUCCAAGGCUAAAUACUCCUGACUGACCGAUAGUGAACCAGUACCGUGAGGGAAAGGCGAAAAGAACCCCGGCGAGGGGAGUGAAAAAGAACCUGAAACCGUGUACGUACAAGCAGUGGGAGCCUCUUAAUGGGGUGACUGCGUACCUUUUGUAUAAUGGGUCAGCGACUUAUAUUCUGUAGCAAGGUUAACCGAAUAGGGGAGCCGAAGGGAAACCGAGUCUUAACUGGGCGUUAAGUUGCAGGGUAUAGACCCGAAACCCGGUGAUCUAGCCAUGGGCAGGUUGAAGGUUGGGUAACACUAACUGGAGGACCGAACCGACUAAUGUUGAAAAAUUAGCGGAUGACUUGUGGCUGGGGGUGAAAGGCCAAUCAAACCGGGAGAUAGCUGGUUCUCCCCGAAAGCUAUUUAGGUAGCGCCUCGUGAAUUCAUCUCCGGGGGUAGAGCACUGUUUCGGCAAGGGGGUCAUCCCGACUUACCAACCCGAUGCAAACUGCGAAUACCGGAGAAUGUUAUCACGGGAGACACACGGCGGGUGCUAACGUCCGUCGUGAAGAGGGAAACAACCCAGACCGCCAGCUAAGGUCCCAAAGUCAUGGUUAAGUGGGAAACGAUGUGGGAAGGCCCAGACAGCCAGGAUGUUGGCUUAGAAGCAGCCAUCAUUUAAAGAAAGCGUAAUAGCUCACUGGUCGAGUCGGCCUGCGCGGAAGAUGUAACGGGGCUAAACCAUGCACCGAAGCUGCGGCAGCGACACUAUGUGUUGUUGGGUAGGGGAGCGUUCUGUAAGCCUGUGAAGGUGGCCUGUGAGGGUUGCUGGAGGUAUCAGAAGUGCGAAUGCUGACAUAAGUAACGAUAAAGCGGGUGAAAAGCCCGCUCGCCGGAAGACCAAGGGUUCCUGUCCAACGUUAAUCGGGGCAGGGUGAGUCGACCCCUAAGGCGAGGCCGAAAGGCGUAGUCGAUGGGAAACAGGUUAAUAUUCCUGUACUUGGUGUUACUGCGAAGGGGGGACGGAGAAGGCUAUGUUGGCCGGGCGACGGUUGUCCCGGUUUAAGCGUGUAGGCUGGUUUUCCAGGCAAAUCCGGAAAACCAAGGCUGAGGCGUGAUGACGAGGCACUACGGUGCUGAAGCGACAAAUGCCCUGCUUCCAGGAAAAGCCUCUAAGCAUCAGGUAACAUCAAAUCGUACCCCAAACCGACACAGGUGGUCAGGUAGAGAAUACCAAGGCGCUUGAGAGAACUCGGGUGAAGGAACUAGGCAAAAUGGUGCCGUAACUUCGGGAGAAGGCACGCUGAUAUGUAGGUGAAGCGACUUGCUCGUGGAGCUGAAAUCAGUCGAAGAUACCAGCUGGCUGCAACUGUUUAUUAAAAACACAGCACUGUGCAAACACGAAAGUGGACGUAUACGGUGUGACGCCUGCCCGGUGCCGGAAGGUUAAUUGAUGGGGUUAGCGGCAACGCGAAGCUCUUGAUCGAAGCCCCGGUAAACGGCGGCCGUAACUAUAACGGUCCUAAGGUAGCGAAAUUCCUUGUCGGGUAAGUUCCGACCUGCACGAAUGGCGUAAUGAUGGCCAGGCUGUCUCCACCCGAGACUCAGUGAAAUUGAACUCGCUGUGAAGAUGCAGUGUACCCGCGGCAAGACGGAAAGACCCCGUGAACCUUUACUAUAGCUUGACACUGAACAUUGAGCCUUGAUGUGUAGGAUAGGUGGGAGGCUUUGAAGUGUGGACGCCAGUCUGCAUGGAGCCGGCCUUGAAAUACCACCCUUUAAUGUUUGAUGUUCUAACGUUGGCCCGUAAUCCGGGUUGCGGACAGUGUCUGGUGGGUAGUUUGACUGGGGCGGUCUCCUCCUAAAGAGUAACGGAGGAGCACGAAGGUUGGCUAAUCCUGGUCGGACAUCAGGAGGUUAGUGCAAUGGCAUAAGCCAGCUUGACUGCGAGCGUGACGGCGCGAGCAGGUGCGAAAGCAGGUCAUAGUGAUCCGGUGGUUCUGAAUGGAAGGGCCAUCGCUCAACGGAUAAAAGGUACUCCGGGGAUAACAGGCUGAUACCGCCCAAGAGUUCAUAUCGACGGCGGUGUUUGGCACCUCGAUGUCGGCUCAUCACAUCCUGGGGCUGAAGUAGGUCCCAAGGGUAUGGCUGUUCGCCAUUUAAAGUGGUACGCGAGCUGGGUUUAGAACGUCGUGAGACAGUUCGGUCCCUAUCUGCCGUGGGCGCUGGAGAACUGAGGGGGGCUGCUCCUAGUACGAGAGGACCGGAGUGGACGCAUCACUGGUGUUCGGGUUGUCAUGCCAAUGGCACUGCCCGGUAGCUAAAUGCGGAAGAGAUAAGUGCUGAAAGCAUCUAAGCACGAAACUUGCCCCGAGAUGAGUUCUCCCUGAGACUUAGAGUCUCCUGAAGGAACGUUGAAGACGACGACGUUGAUAGGCCGGGUGUGUAAGCGCAGCGAUGCGUUGAGCUAACCGGUACUAAUGAACCGUGAGGCUUAACCUUACAACGCCGAAGGUGUUU
rnacentral:rRNA from 1 species